GUCCUAGCCGUAAACGAUGAACACUAGGCGUAGUCGGUAUCGACCCCGGCUGUGCCGUAGCUAACGCAUUAAGUGUUCCGCCUGGGGAGUACGGCCGCAAGGCUAAAACUCAAAGGAAUUGACGGGGGCCCGCACAAGCAGCGGAGCGUGUGGUUUAAUUCGUCGAAACGCGAAGAACCUUACCAGGGCUUGACAUGCACCGGAAAGCGGCGGAAAACGUCGUCCUCCCGCAAGGGAUCGGUGUGCAGGUGUUGCAUGGCUGUCGU
rnacentral:rRNA from 1 species